AAUAGGUGGAGGUUGACUGUUCCGAUGAGUUUUUCAUCGAAAAAACAUCACUAUCGCCUAAAAUUUUUAUCUACUCUCCGUUUUCCAACACGUUUGAGUUUGUCAAAGCUCCGACGGGACAAAAACUAGCUCUACCUCCAUCAAAAUCCCAAAACCCGACCACCACCGUCACUUUUGGUACUAUUCAGGCAAAGAAAUCCAUUGGGAAACCACCCAUCUUUGUCAGAAAAUAAUAACUUAGAUUCUCGUUGAUUUUCUUCAGAAACAACACUGACCCAGCACCAAAACAUAUCAAAAAAGCUUCGAUUUUUUGACAGAAC
rnacentral:lncRNA from 1 species